UAACAAGCGUUUGUGAUUUGUCUGGAUAAUAAUAACAUUAAGAUAUCGAAAAGAUCAAAGCAAAUAAAUUCGACAGAAAUCUAAGAUUCGGCAAUAUAUUUAAGACGGGUUAUGUUCACUUAAAUUGUGUUUGGUAAAGACUGUAACUAUAUGUAGUGAACCAGUCUUCGGCUUAUACUCACUGAAGAAGAGCAUUCAGGGGAGAUAAUUGAGUAAUGACUUAAUUCUGGAACGGUUGCGAAGAAAAACAAAUAAUGCGAGAAUAUUUAGUGCGAUUCGCUACACAAUUAUGAUGUCAUUGAUAUAACUUUUCCUGAGAAGCUGUUCUGCGAAGUCGAAGGCAAGAGCUGAGCAUCAUACAAGCCAUUCUAUCCAGCAAAACUGACAGUUUUGGUUUACAGAAAUCAACAAAGGAGGGAUUCCUGAACUAUCAAAUUUCCAAGCUAUACACACAGUUAUUAUCUGUGGUGAUCUUUAUUGGUUCUGCUUGUUUACUUGGAUGGAACAUGUGUGAACUUUUAUAGAACUUUGAAAAGUCUAUAUAUGUCUAUCUAUAAACAAAAAUCAGCCAUUGUAUAAUAAGAUCAGAUGUACAAACAAUGUCAAAGGGUUGUUAAAUUAAGGCAAUUAUGCUGAAAAAAAAGAAAGUUUCCAUGCAAAUUUUGUCUGUAUAUCGACAAGUGUCUGCCGAUAAUUGUCAAACUAGUAAUACAAAACUUACCACAAGUAUGUAAAAGCACCUAAGUACCUGUGAUCAUUUUUAGUAAGAUAGUGUAAUUCUAAAUUGUAGCAAAUAGCUUGUUUAGUAAAUGCAUAAUGUAAUUAAUAUGAUUUCCGUUCUAUUGUGUAAUUAAUAAAUUGGUUGUUACUUGUUAAUCCAUGAUAAAUGUUUUAUGGCUAGUACAAAACCAGCAAUGUUAAUUUUGUAAAAGGUAAUACAAUAACACCACUUUGUAAUUUCCUAUACAUUAAUAUUCUUGAAAUGUAGGUUGAUGAUUGUGUUUUAGUUUUACUUAUUUUGUAACUAUUAUUUUAUGUGCAAAUAAAUGAUGUGAAGUGUUUUGUAUCGCCACACAAUACCACAUACCUUUUUAUAUAUGUACUGUGUUAUGUGUUAUAUGAAUGUUUAAAUAAAAAAAAAGGAUGAUAUAACAUGAUGCAUUCUAAUAUUUGCAUUCAAAUUGUAACUAUAGAGCUAAGUGUAUGCAGUUUAGACUGUGAUUUUAAAAUUGCUACAAAAUGGCUAGUUUUUUAGUGGCGACAAAAUUUAAACUUUUCAACAAUAGUUUGCGAAAGAAAAUUAGAAACCUGCAAGAUACCUGUAUUUAUUAAAUAUUUUAAUUGCGAAUCAAGUAUGUUGUUAUGCUGUUACACAUAAUUAUACAUUGAUAAUAAAUAAGAAGACAAUUA